ACACCGAUGGUGAAGCGGUUAUCAUGCUUGCCUUCCAUUUACAGGGAUGUGAGUUUAUAUAAGCAAGCGGCAGGGGUUCGACUCCCCUUCGGUGUA